GCACGGGGGCAACCCUGGUGGCGAGUGGCGAACGGGUGAGUAAUGCAUCGGAACGUGCCCAGUAGUGGGGGAUAACUAGUCGAAAGAUUAGCUAAUACCGCAUACGACCUAUGGGUGAAAGCGGGGGACCUUUACCGGCCUCGCGCUAUCGGAGCGGCCGAUGUCUGAUUAGCUAGUUGGCGGGGUAAAAGCCCACCAAGGCGACGAUCAGUAGCUGGUCUGAGAGGACGACCAGCCACACUGGGACUGAGACACGGCCCAGACUCCUACGGGAGGCAGCAGUGGGGAAUUUUGGACAAUGGGCGCAGGCCUGAUCCAGCCAUGCCGCGUGCGGGAAGAAGGCCUUCGGG
rnacentral:rRNA from 1 species